AUUGAACGCUGGCGGCAUGCCUUACACAUGCAAGUCGAACGGUAACAGGUCUUCGGAUGCUGACGAGUGGCGAACGGGUGAGUAAUGCAUCGGAACGUGCCCAGUAGUGGGGGAUAGCCCGGCGAAAGCCGGAUUAAUACCGCAUACGACCUGAGGGUGAAAGGGGGGGAUCGCAAGACCUCUCGCUAUUGGAGCGGCCGAUGUCAGAUUAGCUAGUUGGUGGGGUAAAGGCCUACCAAGGCAACGAUCUGUAGUUGGUCUGAGAGGACGACCAGCCACACUGGGACUGAGACACGGCCCAGACUCCUACGGGAGGCAGCAGUGGGGAAUUUUGGACAAUGGGCGCAAGCCUGAUCCAGCAAUGCCGCGUGCAGGAAGAAGGCCUUCGGGUUGUAAUCUGCUUUUGUCAGGGAAGAAAUCUUCUGGGUUAAUACCUCGGGAGGAUGACGGUACCUGAAGAAUAAGCACCGGCUAACUACGUGCCAGCCGCCGCCGUAAAAC
rnacentral:rRNA from 1 species